AUGGAGCUUUAGACACAAAGGCAUCCCCUGUAAAACGACCCCCUUAAAGGACCAAACCUAAAGAGCCCAUGCCCCCUGUCUUUGGUUGGGGCGACCCCGAGGAAAUAAAAAACCCCCGAGUGGACUGGGAGCACUUCACUCCUAAAACCCAGAGCAUAACACCUCUAACUAGCAGAAUUUCUGGCCAAUAAUGAUCCGGCAGAGCCGAUCAACGGACCG
rnacentral:rRNA from 1 species